rnacentral:lncRNA from 1 species
GUUUUCUAAUUAUUGUAUGUGGGGUUGGAAUUAAGACUUCAAGCUUAACUCUGCCCCAUUGUCACUUUUUUGGGGUCAGAAAACCUGAAGUGUCACUCUAGUUUAACCUUAACCAAGAAGGAGCGACAAAAAAUCCAAUUUCAGAUGGUCCAACACAAAUGGCUCUAACAUUCCGGCAUGUGUUUGACAUAUCAUCAUGAAUGCUAUGAACUACAACUACUAGACCGGUCAUUUGAUCAUAUCUCUCAGAUUCUGGAUAAUGGAAGACGGAGACAGACAUUACUUAAAUCAAAUUUUGCAUUUGCAGAAUUGGUUUGUAUUUGCACUAUUUUUAUAUUCGAACUUGUAAAAUCCUUUCACAUCGAGAAGAAAAGCCAUUAGACCAAGAGCUAGUUGGUCGUCGCACUGCACUUUGCUUUAGUAUCAUAAAAAAUACCUGUGUGAAGGGCACCUAUAUAUUUUCCUGAGUUUUUUGCAUUUUGCGUCUUGCCGUUGGUUGAAGGGUAUAUAUGCUUUUGUCUAGGAAGAGAUGCAGGUAGCAACAAACAACUACACCACUUUUCCCUGAACAAAAGUUUUAGACUAAAAUCCUUCAUAUUCGAGCAUCUCUGGUUGAAUUCAGAAAACAGAAGGAAAUGGGUUCAAAUUUGGGCUUGCAAACUAGGUUGCAUAUGCUUUCCCCCAACUCCAAG